GGAUGUAGCUCAUCUGGCAGAGUGCCACCUUGCCAAGGUGGAGGUAGCGAGUUUGAGCCUCGUCAUACACUCCG
rnacentral:tRNA from 1 species